UACAGAGGGUGCAAGCGUUGUUCGGAAUUAUUGGGCGUAAAGGGCGCGUAGGCGGUUCGGCAAGUCUCUAGUGAAAUCUCUGGGCUCAACUCAGAGUCUGCUGGGGAAACUGCCGGGGCUGAGUGUGGGAGAGGAGAGUGGAAUUCCCGGUGUAGCGGUGAAAUGCGUAGAUAGUCGGGAGGAACACCUGAGGCGAAAGCGGCUCUCUGGGCUGACACUGACGCUCAUGCACGAAAAGCCGUGGGGGAGCAAACAGG
rnacentral:rRNA from 1 species